rnacentral:rRNA from 1 species
UACGGAGGGGGUUAGCGUUGUUCGGAAUUACUGGGCGUAAAGCGUACGUAGGCGGACUGUUAAGUUGGGGGUGAAAUCCCAGGGCUCAACCCUGGAACUGCCCCCAAUACUGGCAGUCUUGAGUUCGAGAGAGGUGAGUGGAACUCCGAGUGUAGAGGUGAAAUUCGUAGAUAUUCGGAAGAACACCAGUGGCGAAGGCGGCUCACUGGCUCGAUACUGACGCUGAGGUACGAAAGUGUGGGGAGCAAACAGG